rnacentral:rRNA from 1 species
AUUGAACGCUGGCGGCAGGCUUAACACAUGCAAGUCGAGCGGGGUGAUGGUGCUUGCACUAUCACUUAGCGGCGGACGGGUGAGUAAUGCUUAGGAAUCUGCCUAAUAGUGGGGGACAACAUCUCAAAAGGGAUGCUAAUACCGCAUACGUCCUACGGGAGAAAGCAGGGGAUCACUUGUGACCUUGCGCUAAUAGAUGAGCCUAAGUCGGAUUAGCUAGUUGGUGGGGUAAAGGCCUACCAAGGCGACGAUCUGUAGCGGGUCUGAGAGGAUGAUCCGCCACACUGGGACUGGGACACGGCCCAGACUCCUACGGGAGGCAGCAGUGGGGAAUAUUGGACAAUGGGGGGAACCCUGAUCCAGCCAUGCUGCGUGUGUGAAGAAGGCCUUAUGGUUGUAAAGCACUUUAAGCGAGGAGGAGGCUCUUUUGGUUAAUACCCAAGAUGAGUGGACGUUACUCGCAGAAUAAGCACCGGCUAACUCUGUGCCAGCCGCCGCCGUAA